GAGAUGGUAUCUCAGUGGUAGAGUGCAUGUUUUGUAAGCAUGCUGUCCUGGGUUCAAUCCCUAGCUUAUCCCC